UUCCUGCUGCUGCGAGAGACCAUGAGCAGACAGAUGAUGUGACUUACUCUGAAGUCUCUUCUUCCAGUAAAAAGCCAGUACAAUCGCUCAAAGAUCAUGAUGACACAGUGACUUACGCUGCCAUCAGAUGAACAGAAAAUGAGCCGCUGGGUGAACUUUACGCCUCUGU